rnacentral:rRNA from 1 species
GUCUUUUUGAGUAUAAUUUAAAGUCUAACCUGCCCACUGAUAUUAUUGAAUGGCCGCAGUAUUUUGACUGUGCAAAGGUAGCAUAAUCAAUAGUUUUUUAAUUAAGAACUGGAAUGAAAGGUUGGACGAGAAAAUAACUGUCUCUUUAUAAAUUAUUUAGAAUUUUAUUUUUAAGUUAAAAAGCUUAAAUGUUAUUAAAAGACGAGAAGACCCUAUAGAGUUUUAUAUAAAUGUGAUUAUUAUUUUAGUUAGUAUUUUUUAAAUAUUAAUCAUAGAUAUAUUUGGUUGGGGUGAUUGAAAAAUUUAAUAAACUUUUUUUGUAUUAAAACAUUUAUUUAUGGUUUAUUGAUCCAUUAUUAGUGAUUAUAAGAUUAAAUUACCUUAGGGAUAACAGCGUUAUUUCUUUUAAGAGUUCUUAUCAAUAAAGAAGUUUGCGACCUCGAUGUUGGAUUAAAAUUAAAUUUUGGUGUAGAAGCUAAAAUUUUUAGGUCUGUUCGACCUUUAAUAUUUUACA